UAAACACAGCAAGCCAAACGUCACCGCUCACAUGCAGUGGCGCAAUUAAUUUCCCAAAUGCUGGGUAUUUUCUUAACUCAGUGUUGGGUCAAUAAUCCCGCCGCACCUCGUGGGGAUUUGAGGUGACUUAUUUUUCAAUGGACUGAACAGGCAGAGGGACAAGACGUCGUCACCAAAAACAGAGAUUCAAUGGAUAUUUUGGUGGAGGAAACACUCAAAGAUUGGAAUAUGGAGUCUCGCAUCACUAAAUUUGAAGAUAUGAAAUGUGACUUGCCCUGAUAGUGCUGCCUCUACUUCAACUGGGAUUUUCCCACACAACAAUCUCUAGGGAUUACACAGAAUGGUCAGAAAAAGAGAAAAUAUCCAGUAUGCAGAAGAGCAUCUCUGAAGGCACAACAUACCGAGCCUUGAAGCAGAUGGGCAACAGCAGCAGAAGACCACAAGAAAAAGAAAGUCGUAUACAAUGUACUUCUGUUCAAUUGCUAGCUUUUAGUUGGAAAUUCCUACUUUUAUUUCUGAUUGCUUAGGAAUUGCUAUUAUUCAAGCUGUGAAAUGGCAAGAGAUAAUGUUGUUGUGCGUCUGUGUCUGUGUGUGUGUGUCUGUGUGUGGUCAUGUUCCAAUGUUAGUAACUAUUGAAGCCUCAGGUUGACCUUGCAUACAAUUAUCCAUACAUUUAUUUAGAAAUUACUCAUUGUUUUUUUAAGGGAUAGGGAAGGGAUGUGGAUGUUUUACAUUUAGUUGUGAUUGUGUG
ensembl:lncRNA